GAUGAACGCUGGCGGCGUGCCUAAUACAUGCAAGUCGAGCGAAUGGAUUAAGAGCUUGCUCUUAUGAAGUUAGCGGCGUACGGGUGAGUAACACGUGGGUAACCUGCCCAUAAGACUGGGAUAACUCCGGGAAACCGGGGCUAAUACCGGAUAACAUUUUGAACCGCAAGGUUCGAAAUUGAAAGGCGGCUUCGGCUGUCAAUUAUGGAUGGACGCGCGUCGCAUUAGCUAGUUGGUGAGGUAACGGCUCACCAAGGCAACGAUGCGUAGCCGACCUGAGAGGGUGAUCGGCCACACUGGGACUGAGACACGGCCCAGACUCCUACGGGAGGCAGCAGUAGGGAAUCUUCCGCAAUGGACGAAAGUCUGACGGAGCAACGCCACGUGAGUGAUGAAGGCUUUCGGGUCGUAAAACUCUGUUGUUAGGGAAGAACAAGUGCUAGUUGAAUAAGCUGGCACCUUGACGGUACCUAACCAGAAAGCCACGGCUAACUACGUGCCAGCCGCCGCGGUAA
rnacentral:rRNA from 1 species